rnacentral:tRNA from 2 species
GGGAAUAGCUCAGCUGGUAGAGCGCAACCUUGCCAAGGUUGAGGUCGCGAGUUCGAAUCUCGUUUCCC